rnacentral:rRNA from 1 species
CCUACGGGAGGCAGCAGUGAGGAAUAUUGGUCAAUGGACGAGAGUCUGACCCAGCCAAGUAGCGUGAAGGAUGACUGCCCUAUGGGUUGUAAACUUCUUUUAUAAAGAAGUAAAACGAGGCACGUGUGCCUUUUUGCAUGUACUUUAUGAAUAAGGAUCGGCUAACUCCGUGCCAGCAGCCGCGGUAAUACGGAGGAUCCGAGCGUUAUCCGGAUUUAUUGGGUUUAAAGGGAGCGUAGAUGGGUUGUUACGUCAGUUGUGAAAGUUUGCGGCUCAACCGUAAAAUUGCAAUUGAUACUGGCAGUCUUGAGUACAGUUGAGGUAGGCGGAAUUCGUGGUGUAGCGGUGAAAUGCUUAGAUAUCACGAAGAACUCCGAUUGCGAAGGCAGCUUACUAAACUGCCACUGACAUUGAUGCUCGAAAGUGUGGGUAUCAAACAGGAUUAGAUACCCCAGUAGUC